CCUCUCUCGGGAUGGCACCUGGAGAGUUUCCAAUACUCUACCAGUCUCGACUACGAGAGAAAGAGUCAAGCAGAGGCCUGUCCAUUCCAUUCCUAGCUUGGACAGUGGCUAGCGAGUGGAAGGCAAUCUGCUACCGGU